rnacentral:rRNA from 1 species
GACGAACGCUGGCGGCGUGCUUAACACAUGCAAGUCGAACGGAAAGGCCCUGCUUGUGUGGGGUGCUCGUGUGGCGAACGGGUGAGUAACACGUGUGUAACCUGCCCUUGACUUUGGUAUAACUUCAGGAAUCUGGGGCUUAUACCGUAUGGGAGCUCCUUCUGCAUGGUGGGGGUUGGAAAGGUUCGGCGGUUGGGGAUGGACUCGCGGCUUAUCAGCUUGUUGGUGGGGUAGUGGCUUACCAAGGCUUGGACGGGUAGCCGGCCUGAGAGGGUGACCGGCCACAUUGGGACUGAGAUACGGCCCAGACUCCUACGGGAGGCAGCAGUGGAGAAUAUUGCACAAUGGGCGGAAGCCUGAUGCAGCAACGCCGCGUGCGGGAUGACGGCCUUCGGGUUGUAAACCGCUUUCGCCUGUGACGAAGCGUGAGUGACGGGAAUGGGUAAAGAAGCACCGGCUAACUACG